rnacentral:rRNA from 1 species
UACAGAGACCUCAAGCGUUAUCCGGAAUCAUUGGGCGUAAAGCGUACCGAUAGGUGGUCAUGAUAGUUUUGGGUAAAAGCCAGAAGCUCAACUUCUGCGUUUGCUCAAAAUACUUCACGACUAGAGGGGCAAAUAGGUAACUGAAACGAAUGGUGUAGUAGUGAAAUGCGUUGAUAUCAUUCGGAACACCGAAAGCGAAGGCAGGUUACUGGGUGCCACCUGACACUGCUAGGACGAAAGCGUGGGGAGCGAAUGGG